rnacentral:snRNA from 13 species
GCUUUUUACCCUGUAUAGCCUUAGUUAACUGUCGUUUUCGCACUCUCAGCAGAGUGUGCCGAAUAAGAAGAUAUUCAGGAUACGCACCUCCGGGUGGAUCCGGAGAGGCAAA